UAGAUACCCUGGUAGUCCACACCGUAAACGUUGGGCGCUAGGUGUGGGGUCCAUUCCACGGAUUCCGUGCCGCAGCUAACGCAUUAAGCGCCCCGCCUGGGGAGUACGGCCGCAAGGCUAAAACUCAAAGGAAUUGACGGGGGCCCGCACAAGCGGCGGAGCAUGCGGAUUAAUUCGAUGCAACGCGAAGAACCUUACCUGGGUUUGACAUACACCGGAAAGCCUCAGAGAUGGGGCCCCUUUUGUCGGU
rnacentral:rRNA from 1 species